rnacentral:rRNA from 1 species
GCAUAUCAAUAAGCGGAGGAAAAGAAACUAACAAGGAUUCCCUUAGUAACGGCGAGUGAAGAGGGAAGAGCUCAAAUUUUAAAUCUAUCAUGUUGUACAUGAUCGAGUUGUAAUUUGAAGAAGCGUUUUCUCGUACUUUAUGAUCAGUAUAAGUUCUCUUGGAACAGGACAUCAUAGAGGGUGAUAAUCCCGUCUGUUACUGAUUGUGAGGUUCGUUUAUGAUACGCUUUCAAAGAGUCGAGUUGUUUGGGAUUGCAGCUCCAAAUGGGUGGUAAACAUCACCUAAGGCUAAAUAUUUGCGAGAGACCGAUAGCGAACAAGUACCGUGAGGGAAAGAUGAAAAGAACUUUGAAAAGAGAGUUAAAAAGUAUGUGAAAUUGUUGAAAGGGAAACGAUUGAAGUCAGUCGUGCAGUCAUCAAUUCAGCGGUUAACAUUUUAUGUUUCCGUGUAAUUUGGUGUCUGUUGGUUAGCAUCAAUUUUGAUUGUUAUAAAAAGGUUAAGGGGAUGUGGCUCCUUCGGGAGUGUUAUAACCCUUAGCGUAAUGUGACGAUUAGGAUUGAGGUUUGCAACGAAUACCUUUUAGGGCAGUUUCACCUUGCCUCUUGUGGAAUUAUAGAUAGUUAAGAGCAUGCUCUUACUGUCUAUGAUUCUACGAAAAGGUUGGAGUGUAAAACUAAUUCGUUAAGGAUGUUGACGUA